ensembl:snRNA U6 U6 spliceosomal RNA
GUGCUUGCUUUGGCAGCACAUACACUAAAAUUAGAACAGCACAGAAAAGAUUAGCAUGGUCUCUUACAAGGAUGAUGUGGAAUCCUGCGAAACAUUCAAUAUUAAA